CCCUAGGUCCAAGGUCCACUUGACAGCUGGCGGGCUCAACACUCUGCUCCUUGGCAUACUUGUCUUAUUGAUUUAAUUUUUAGUGAUAUAGAUUCAAAUUGUACCUUUUUUAUUAACUUUUUAUCACCAAAUUCAUUCUGUUUCACAGGUUGAUGACAAUGAAACUAAUGACCAUGUUAACAUCAGAGGAAAAGCAAACUGGGAGAAGAAAGGACAACAUUGUUUUCGAUCUUGAAGGCCUGCGUAGACAUAGGACCAGGAAGGGGAGCUAGGAGUGGGAGAAGUGCCUGUAACUGAUAUAUGCACAAUCAGAUAGAAAUCCAGUUCAAAAGGAAAUCUGAAAUAGUGAAAUAGCAGAAAUCAUUACUUACAUACUGUAUAAUCUGCUCUAAAACACAAACAUUUGAAUUUAAAAUGUGUUAAAUGCAAAACAGUUCUACUUACAAAAUGAAUUUUUCAGUAAUUCUAAAUGCAGCUGAAAAGUGAUAUACAUGAAAUGUGUGAAAACAGUGCAAGUUAAGUUUGAUUUUUUGUUGUAUACAAAACUGAAGAACUUGUAUCCAAUUCAUUUUCUGGAUGCACAGUGUUAUUGGAAUUUUUUUCAGAUAAUUUAAAAUUCUACAAGGUGAAGAAAUUUCAAAUAGUAUCUCAAGAAAAAAAGUUUGCACAAUGAAUUGUUUUUCAAAAAUU